rnacentral:lncRNA from 1 species
UAUCCUGCUGUCCAUGUCAGCUGAAAAUUUUCUUAGUUUGACAUGUAAUGUAACUCAUUCAAAUAGAUAAAACUAGAGCUCCGAAAAUAAGUAGUGUUGGAAUCAACUCACUGUCAAUAACAGAAGUCGCAGAUAGACGAGUCAAUAUUUCAGAGGAAAUAAUCCAAGAACCUGAUCAAGGAGGAUUAUCUAGAUGUUCAG